UUUCAAAAUAGAAAGUUAUUUUAGUCCCUGAAAAGAACAAAAGAAAGGGAACAAUUGCAUUCUAAUGAUCACUCAAAAAAUAAGCCAGUUUUUUUUUCUUUAUAUAAACCAAGAGGUGAAAAAUUGAGAAUUAGGUGAGCUCCAGUUCAGUUAACUGUACUAGAAGACUUUGAAGUAUUGCAUGAAUAAUCUGAAUUGGAAAAUAUACCAUAUUGAAACAUUGAAGAGGUGCGAUGUAUUGACAUUAUCUCAUCAAAUCACCCCAAUAAAAUACUUCCUGUUAAGCUAAAACAUUAAAACAGAAUGUUACAAGCUUUAAUGUGGAUUUUUUAGUAAUUGAAUAGUAUAAUGUAGUCAAUCAUAUCCGAAUAAAUAUGUGAAAAUCUAGAA